CGUUACGGGGGAAGCGGAUUGCGUCGAAUUGAAUAAGUGCGUGUUGCUCAGCCUUGUAAUUUUUUAUGGGGUGUAUUCAUCACGUUACUUACCCGUCGUGAGUUUCUGGUGGUCGAUUUUGCGGCUGCUGGGGGCUGAGGGAUCCCCUUUCUAGGGUGAGGACGACGGGGCGCCGACGCGAUACGACCCGUCUUGAAACACGGACCAAGGAGUCUAGCGUAGCUGCGAGUCGUAGGGUAUUGAAACCUGAGGGCGCAGUGAAAGCAAAUUGUAUUUUUUGAAAAAACUAAGUUUUUUUUGGCAGUUUGGGGCGGCAUACGAUCUUUGAUUGUAAGUCCGACCUUGAGCAGUUAUGCUAGGACCCGAAAGAUGGUGAACUAUGCCGGAGUAGGGCGAAGCCAGAGGAAACUCUGGUGGAGGCUCGUAGCGUUGCUGACGUGCAAAUCGCUCGUUAAACUCGGGUAUAGGGGCCAAAGACUAAUCGAACCAUCUAGUA
rnacentral:rRNA from 1 species